rnacentral:rRNA from 1 species
AUUGAACGCUGGCGGCAGGCCUAACACAUGCAAGUCGAGCGGAUGAGGGGUGCUUGCAUCCCGAUUCAGCGGCGGACGGGUGAGUAAUGCCUAGGAAUCUGCCCGAUAGUGGGGGACAACGUUUCGAAAGGAACGCUAAUACCGCAUACGUCCUACGGGAGAACGUGGGGGCUCUUCGGACCUCACGCUAUCGGAUGAGCCUAGGUCGGAUUAGCUAGUUGGUGGGGUAAAGGCUCACCAAGGCGACGAUCCGUAACUGGUCUGAGAGGAUGAUCAGUCACACUGGAACUGAGACACGGUCCAGACUCCUACGGGAGGCAGCAGUGGGGAAUAUUGGACAAUGGGCGAAAGCCUGAUCCAGCCAUGCCGCGUGUGUGAAGAAGGUCUUCGGAUUGUAAAGCACUUUAAGUCGGGAGGAAGGGCUGCAGGUUAAUACCUUGCAGCCUUGACGUUACCGACAGAAUAAGCACCGGCUAACUUCGUGCCAGCAGCCGCCGUAAGAC